rnacentral:lncRNA from 1 species
AAUGUGCUAGGAAAACCCGUUGGCAUGUAUGGAUUAACUGGCAGACCAUGUGUGCAUGUGUGUUUAUUCCUUAUAAAUAUUUAUCUCCAUGUGAUUAGAUGUUGCUUUUUACUGAUUAACAUCGGUGUUGAGCAUUUUUUCUGUAUGGCCUUUCAUCUACUGUGAAAUAAUUUUCAGCCAUUUUCUCAUUAAUUAAUUAAUUAAUUUUUAAGUCAGGGUCUUGCACUAUCACCCAGGUUGGAGUGCAGUUCUGGGAUCAUGGCUCACCACAGCCUCAGAUUCCUGGGCUCAAACAAUCCUCCUGCCUUCGUCUCCUAUGUAGCUGGAACUACAGGCAUGCGCCACCACAUCUUGCUAUUUUUUUUUUUUUUUUUUUUUGUAUUUUUUAUAGAGACAAGGUCUCACCAUGUUUCCCAGGCUGGUCUCAAACUCCUGGGCUUAAGUGAUCCACCUGUCUUGGCCUUCCAAAGUGCUGGGAUUAUAGGCAUGAG